rnacentral:lncRNA from 1 species
AUGACAGAACCAGAGCCACAGAUAUCAAUACUCACCUUGAAUUUAAACAGGCUAAAUGUCCCACUUAAAAGGCACAGAAUGGCAAGCUGGAUAAAGAAGCAAGACCCAAUGGUACACUGUUUUCAAGAGACCUGUCUUACAUGUAAUGACACCUAUAGGCUCAAAAUAAAGGGAUGGAGGAAAAUAUACCAAGCAAACAGAAAACAGAAAAAGGCAGGGUUUGCAAUCCUAAUUUCAGACAAAACAGACUUUAAGCCAACAAAGAUCGAAAAAGACAAAGAAGGGUAUUACAUAAUGGUAAAGGAUUCAUUUCAGCAAGAAGACCUAUCUAUCCUAAAUAUACAUGCACUCAACACAGCCAUACCCAGAUUCAUAAAGCAAGUUCUUAGAGACCUACAAAAAGACAUAGACUUCCACACAAUAAUAAUGGGAGAAUUCAACACUUUACUGACAGCAUUAGACAGAUAAUCAAGUCAGAAAAUUAACAAAGACAUUCAAGGACCUGAAUUCAACAUUGAACCAGCUGUAUCUGAUAGACCUCUACAGAACUCUCCACCCCAAAACAGCAGAAUAUACAUUCUUCUCAAUGCCACAUGGCAAAUACUCUAAAUUUGACCACAUAAUUGGACAUAAAACUAUCCUCAGCAAAUAUUAAAGAAAUGAAAUCAUACCAAACACACUUUUGGACCACAGCACAAUAAAAAUAGAAGUCAAGACUAAGAAAAUAAUUCAAAAUCAUGCAAUUACAUGGAAAUUAAAAUAACGUGCUCCUGAAUGACUUUUGGGUAGUUAAUUAAAUUAAGGCAGAAAUCAAGAAGUUCUUUGAAACUAAUGGGAACAAAGAUACAACAUACCAGAAUCUCUGGGACACAACUAAGGCAGUGUUAAGAGGGAAAGUCAUAGCACUAAAAGCGCAUGUCAAAAAGUUAGAAACAACUCAAAUUAACAGUGUAACAUCACAACAGAAAGAAUUAGAGAAGCAAGAGCAAAUCAACCCCAAAGUUAGCAGACGAAAAGAAAUAACCAAAAUCAGAGCUAAACAGAAGGAAAUUGAGACACAAAAAAACCAUUCAGAAGAUAAACAAAUCCAGGAGUUUGUUUUUUGAAAAAAUUAACAAGAUAGAUAGGUUGCUAGCUAGACUAAUAAAGAAAAGAGAAUCAAUACAAUUAGAAAUAAAGGGAAUGUUACCACUGACCCCACAGAAAUAAAAAUAAUCAUCAGAAACUACUACAAACACCUCUGUGCACACAAAGUAGAAAACCUACAAAAGAAAGAUAAAUUCCUAGACACCUACAUCUCCCAAGACUGAACCAGGAAAUUGAUUCCCUGAACAGAACAAUAACAAGAUCAAUAAUUGAAUCAGUAAUAAAUAGGCUACCAACCAAAAAAAGCCCAGGACCUGAUGGAUUCACAGCUAAAGUCUAUCAGAUGUACAAAGAAGAGCUGGCACCAUUCCUACUGAAACUAUUCCAAAAAAUUGAGGAGGAGGAACUCCUCCCCAACUCAUUCUAUGAGGCCAGCAUCAUCCUAAUACCAAAAUCUGGCAGAGACACAACAAAAAAAUAAAACUAUGGGCCAAUAUUCUUAAUGAACAUUCAUGCAAAAAUCCUCAACAAAAUACUUGCAGAUUGAAUCCAGCAGCACAUCAAAAAAUGAAUCCACCACAAUCAAUAGGCUUCAUCCCAGGAUGCAAGAUUGCUUCAACAUAUACAAAUCAAUAAAUGUGAUUUAUCACACAAAAAGAACCAAAGACAAAAACCACAUGACUAUCUCAAUAGAUGCAGAAAAGGCUUUCAAUAAAAUUAAACACUUUUCAUGUUAAAAAACUCUUAAUGUACGAGGUAUUGAAGAAACAUACCUCAAAAUAAUAAGAGCCAUCUAUGACAAACCCACAGCCAACAUCGUACUGAAUCGGCAAAAGCUGGAAGCAUUCCUCUUGAAGCCAGCACAAGCCUUCUCUCACCACUCCUAUUCAACAUAGUAUUAGAAGUUCUAGCAAGAGCAAUCAAGCAAGAGAAAGAAAUAAAGGGCAUUCAAACAGGAAGAGAGGAAGUCAAAUGAUCUCUGUUUGCAGACAACGUGAUCCUAUAUCUCAAAAAACUCACAGUCUCGGCCCAAAAGAGAGCUGUUUAUCAACUCCUUCAGCAGAUAAACAACUUCAGCAAGUUUCAGUAUACAAACUCAAUGUCCAAAAAUUCACUGACAUUCUGAUACACCAACAACAGCCAAACUGAGAGCCAAAGCAGAAAGGCAAUCCCAUUCACAAUUGCCACAAAAAGAAUAAAAUGCCUAGGAAUACAGCUAACCAGGGAGGUGAAAGAUCUCUACAAUGAGAAUUAUAAAGCACUGCUCAAAGAAAUCAGAGAUGACACAAAUAAAUGGAAAAACAGUCCAUGCUCAUGGAUAGGAAGAAUCAAUAUCAUUAAAAUGGCCAUACUGCCCAAAGCAAUUUACAUAAUAAAUGAUAUUCCUAUGAAACUACCAAUGACAUUCUUCAUAGAAUUAGAAAAAACUAUUUUAAAAUUCAUAUGGAACCAAAAAAGAGCCCAAAUAGGCAAGGUAAUCUUAAGCAAAAAGACAAAGCUAGAGGCAUCACAUUACCUAACUUCAAACUAUACUACAGGGCUACAGUAACCAAAAUAGGAUGGUACUGGUACAAAAACAGGCACAUAGACCAAUCAAAUGGAAUAGAGAGCCCAGAAAUAAGACCACACACCUACUAUCAUCUGAUCUUCAACAAAGCUGACAAAACAAGCAAUGGAGAAAGACUCCCUGUUAAAUAAAUGGUGCUCUGAUAACUGGCUAGCCAUGUGCAGAAGAUUGUAGCUAGAUCCCUUCCUUACACCAUAUAUACAAAUCAACUCAAGAUGAACUAAUGACUUAAAUGUAAAACCCAAAACUAUAAAAAACCUGGGUGACAACCUGGGCAAUACCAUCCUGGACAUAGGCAUGGGCAAAGAUUUCAUGAAGAAGACACCAAAAGCAAUUGGAACAAAAACCAGGCCAAAAAUUGACAAAUAGGAUCUAGUUAAACUAAAGAGCUUCUGUACAGCAAAAGAAAGUAUUAACACAGUAAACAGACAACCUACAGAAUGGGAGAAAAUAUUUGCAAACUAUGCAUUUGAGAAAGGUCUAACAUCCACAUCUAUAAGGAACUUAAACUUACGAGAGAAAAACAAACAAACCCGUUAAAAAGUGGGCAAAGGACAUGAACAAACACUUUUCAAAAGAAGACGUAAAUGUGGCAAACAAGCAUAUGAAAAAAAGCUCAAUAUCAUAGAUCAUUAGAGAAAUGCAAACCAAAACCACCAUGAGAUACCAUCUCACUCUAGUCAGAAUGGCUAUCAUUAAAAAGUCAAAAAACAACAGAUGGGGAGAGGUUGCAGAGAAAAGGGAACACUUAUACACUGUUGGUGAGAGUGUAAAUUAGUUCAACCAUUGUGGAAAGCAGUAUGGCAAUUUCUCAAAGAGCUAAAAGCAGAACUAUUGUUCAAUCCAGCAAUCCCAUUAGGUAUACACCCAGAGAAACAUAAAUCAUUCUACCAUAAAGACACAUACACCUGAAUGUUCAUUGCAGCACUAUUCACAAUAGCAAAGACAUGGAAUCAACUAAAUGCUCAUCAAUGACAGAUUGAAUAAAGAAAACGUGAUACAUAUACACCAUGGACUACUAUGCAGCCAUAAAAAGGGAUGAGAUCCUAUCUUUUAUGGGAACAUGGAUGGAGCUGGAGGCUAUUACCCUCAGCAAGCUAACACAG